AUUGAACGCUGGCGGCAUGCUUUACACAUGCAAGUCGAGCGAGCGGCGGACGGGUGAGUAAUGUCUGGGAAAGUGCCUAAUGGAGGGGGAUAACUACUGGAAACGGUAGCUAAUACCGCAUACCAUCAGAUCUGCCCAUAUCGGAUUAGCUAGUAGGUGGGGUAAAGGCUCACCUAGGCGACGAUCCCUAGCUGGUCUGAGAGGAUGACCAGCCACACUGGAACUGAGACACGGCCCAGACGCCUACGGGAGGAAGCAGUGGGGAAUUUUGGGCAAUGGGCGAAAGCCUGAUCCAGCCAUGCCGCGUGUGUGAUGAAGGCCUUCGGGUUGUAAAGCACUUUUGGCAGGGAGGCGUUAUCUGCAGAAGAAGCACCGGCUAACUACGUGCCAGCAGCCGCGGUAAUAC
rnacentral:rRNA from 1 species